UAUCACUGUAUGAAUGGAGAGCGAGACAUUACUAUGUGAUAUCACGAAGGAACUGCCCCGGGAGACAGUUCCUCCGUGAUAUCACGUGAUAAAGUCUCGCUCUAUAAGUCUGAGUCCUCGAUUGGUUUCUUUGACAAUCUGGCGUAGUCGGCAGGAUCCCUAACAAACUGGAUCUGGACAGGGAAAACCGCACUCAAUGGGAAAAUACCGGCCGUGACCCAGACCUGAGGGAGAACCCCAAGAGGGGACAGGAAUAAAAAUAUCCCACGAGAGAAAGAGUAAGGCUGCUUUUUUAACACCAUCAGUAAUUUGAAUCCAUUUUAUGAAAUGCUGACAUUAGUAUUUACAGGGAUUUUUGCUUAUGCCGUGCUCACUGGCUUCAUCAGUUUGAACUAAUGAAUCACCUUCAGCUAGAAUUUAAGCUGUGAGAUGUUUACAAAUAGGCGUAAUAGCUUUGCUGCAUUUCCUGUAUCCAUUCAUCCAGAAGGUAUAAAUUAUGGAUAACAUUAGAAAUAUGAAUGCGGUUGAAACAAGAGGAAAUGAACUAUUGAGAGCAAUAGUUUAACCAACUAAAUUCACAUUUAUGACAUAUUAAAACAAUUAACUAGAAAACGCAUAAGGACACAGCAGGAUAAAUACCAUCCAAAAAUGUGUUGAAAUUCUAUUAACUGGAGAUCAAUUUGUUGUGAAUAUGACUUUGUGCCAGCGACUGGAAUAUAAAGUGAUGUGUAUAAAGCAUGCAAGUAAAAACUGUACUGAAAAAUGUACUUGGAUUAGCAGCAAAGGAGAAAAGAAGAAAUGCUUUGAAGGCUAAAGUAAGGAUAACAUGCGUCGUGGCCAAAGACAUUAGUUCUCCAUGUCAAUAUCUACAAAAUUUUUCCUCUGCUGUUAUAUAUGUGUAACAACUUUUCCCUGCCAAAGGCUAAUAUACUGGUGUAGCUCCUGAUAUUAGUGUCUAUUGGUCUUCAACUUUAGUUUUGGUUUAGUUUAGACAGCAGCUUCAAGUUCCUCGGUGUGCACAUCACUGAGGACCUCUCUUGGACACUGCACACGGACACAGUAACUAAGAAAGCCCGCCAGCGGCUCUUUUUCCUGCGAAGACUGAGGAAGUUUGGCAUGAACUCCAGCAUCCUCACAAACUUUUACAGAUGCACCAUCGAGAGUCUGCUGACGGGCUGCAUCACAGUCUGGUACGGGAACUGUUCUGCCCACAGCCGCAAAUCACUACAGAUAGUGGUGAAGGCGGCACAGCACAUCACUGGCAACUGUCUCCUGGCCAUUCAGGACAUUUUCUACAGGCGGUGCCUGCGGAAGGCACACAGCAUCAUCAAGGACCACAGCCAGCCAGCUCGCAGACCGUUCUCCGUGUUACCGUCAGGCAGACGUUACAGGAGCAUGGCUGCACGCACCACUAGACUUAAGAACAUUUUUUAUCAUCAUACCAUCAGGCUUCUGAACUCAUAAAAGCAUCAAAAACGUCGAUUAUUUUAUUUAUCAUUGUCUUUUAUCUACCAAUGUCACGUUUAUCUUAUCUUUUUUUACCUUAAUUCUAUCCUUGUAAUAUCAUUGCUGAGGUGACCCGUUGUCUUGUCUAACACAUUUCAUUGUACCGUUGAUCCUGUGUUAACCUACAUAUGACAAAUAAAACUGAACUGA